rnacentral:rRNA from 1 species
GUUCCGACCUGCACGAAUGGCGUAACGACUUCCCCGCUGUCUCCAACAUCGACUCAGCGAAAUUGAAUUGCCUGUCAAGAUGCAGGCUUCCCGCGGUUAGACGGAAAGACCCCGUGCACCUUUACUACAGCUUCGCACUGGCAUCAGGACUGCAUUGUGCAGGAUAGGUGGUAGGCUUUGAAACCGGAACGCCAGUUCCGGUGGAGCCUCCCUUGAGAUACCACCCUUCGCACUCUUGAUGUCUAACCGCGGCCCGUUAUCCGGGUCCGGGACCCUGCGUGGUGGGUAGUUUGACUGGGGCGGUCGCCUCCUAAAGCGUAACGGAGGCGCGCGAAGGUUGGCUCAGAGCGGU